AGCAGUCGCCGCGGGAAUACAGAGGGUGCGAGCGUUAAUCGGAUUUACUGGGCGUAAAGCGUGCGUAGGCGGCUUUUUAAGUCGGAUGUGAAAUCCCUGAGCUUAACUUAGGAAUUGCAUUCGAUACUGGGAAGCUAGAGUAUGGGAGAGGAUGGUAGAAUUCCAGGUGUAGCGGUGAAAUGCGUAGAGAUCUGGAGGAAUACCGAUGGCGAAGGCAGCCAUCUGGCCUAAUACUGACGCUGAGGUACGAAAGCAUGGGGAGCAAACAGGAUUAGAUACCCCAGUAGUCCCUGUCUCUUAUAA
rnacentral:rRNA from 1 species